CAGUAGCCGCGGGAAUACAAAGGUCCCAAGCGUUGUUCGGAAUCACUGGGCGUAAAGGGAGCGUAGGCGGCGUGGUAAGUCAGAUGUGAAAUCCCGGGGCUCAACCCCGGAACUGCAUCCGAUACUGCCAUGCUUGAGGGUUGGAGAGGUAGCUGGAAUUCUCGGUGUAGCAGUGAAAUGCGUGGAUAUCGAGAGGAACACUCGUGGCGAAGGCGAGCUACCGGACAACAUCUGACGCUGAGGCUCGAAGGCUAGUGUAGCGAAAGGGAUUAGAUACCCCUGUAGUCCCUGUCUCUUAUAC
rnacentral:rRNA from 1 species